AGCGAACGCUGGCGGCAGGCCUAACACAUGCAAGUCGAACGAACCCUUCGGGGUUAGUGGCGGACGGGUGAGUAACACGUGGGAACGUGCCUUUAGGUUCGGAAUAACUCAGGGAAACUUGUGCUAAUACCGAAUGUGCCCUUCGGGGGAAAGAUUUAUCGCCUUUAGAGCGGCCCGCGUCUGAUUAGCUAGUUGGUGAGGUAAUGGCUCACCAAGGCUACGAUCAGUAGCUGGUCUGAGAGGAUGACCAGCCAACUUGGGACUGAGACACGGCCCAAACUCCUACGGGAGGCAGCAGUGGGGAAUCUUGCGCAAUGGGCGAAAGCCUGACGCAGCCAUGCCGCGUGGAUGAUGAAGGUCUUAGGAUUGUAAAAUCCUUUCACCGGUGAAGAUAAUGACUGUAGCCGGAGAAGAAGCCCCGGCUAACUUCGUGCCAGCCGCCGCCGUAAUAC
rnacentral:rRNA from 1 species